GAUGAACGCUGGCGGCGUGCCUAAUACAUGCAAGUCGAGCGAACGGACGAGAAGCUUGCUUCUCUGAUGUUAGCGGCGGACGGGUGAGUAACACGUGGAUAACCUACCUAUAAGACUGGGAUAACUUCGGGAAACCGGAGCUAAUACCGGAUGAUAUUUUGAACCGCAUGGUUCAAAAGUUAAAGACGGUCUUGCUGUCACUGAUAGAUGGAUCCGCGCUGCAUUAGCUAGUUGGUAAGGUAACGGCUUACCAAGGCAACGAUGCAUAGCCGACCUGAGAGGGUGAUCGGCCACACUGGAACUGAGACACGGUCCAGACUCCUACGGGAGGCAGCAGUAGGGAAUCUUCCGCAAUGGGCGAAAGCCUGACGGAGCAACGCCGCGUGAGUGAUGAAGGUCUUCGGAUCGUAAAACUCUGUUAUUAGGGAAGAACAUAUGUGUAAGUAACUGUGCACAUCUUGACGGUACCUAAUCAGAAAGCCACGGCUAACUACGUG
rnacentral:rRNA from 1 species